rnacentral:tRNA from 1 species
CAAAAAAUAGUUUAAUAAAAAUAUUAAUUUUGGAAAUUAAUGAUAUAAUUUAUUUAAAAAAAAUUUUAUUUUUUUGA